UACAGAGGGUGCAAGCGUUAUUCGGAAUUACUGGGCGUAAAGCGUGCGUAGACGGUCAUGUAAGUCGGGUGUGAAAGCCCCGGGCUCAACCUGGGAAUUGCAUUCGAGACUGCGUGGCUAGGAUGCGGAAGAGGGAAGCGGAAUUUCCGGUGUAGCGGUGAAAUGCGUAGAUAUCGGAAGGAACACCAGUGGCGAAAGCGGCUUCCUGGUCCAGCAUCGACGUUCAGGCACGAAAGCGUGGGGAGCAAACAGG
rnacentral:rRNA from 1 species